rnacentral:rRNA from 1 species
GGGACACGUGGUAUCCUGUCUGAAUAUGGGGGGACCAUCCUCCAAGGCUAAAUACUCCUGACUGACCGAUAGUGAACCAGUACCGUGAGGGAAAGGCGAAAAGAACCCCGGCGAGGGGAGUGAAAAAGAACCUGAAACCGUGUACGUACAAGCAGUGGGAGCACGCUUAGGCGUGUGACUGCGUACCUUUUGUAUAAUGGGUCAGCGACUUAUAUUCUGUAGCAAGGUUAACCGAAUAGGGGAGCCGAAGGGAAACCGAGUCUUAACUGGGCGUUAAGUUGCAGGGUAUAGACCCGAAACCCGGUGAUCUAGCCAUGGGCAGGUUGAAGGUUGGGUAACACUAACUGGAGGACCGAACCGACUAAUGUUGAAAAAUUAGCGGAUGACUUGUGGCUGGGGGUGAAAGGCCAAUCAAACCGGGAGAUAGCUGGUUCUCCCCGAAAGCUAUUUAGGUAGCGCCUCGUGAAUUCAUCUCCGGGGGUAGAGCACUGUUUCGGCAAGGGGGUCAUCCCGACUUACCAACCCGAUGCAAACUGCGAAUACCGGAGAAUGUUAUCACGGGAGACACACGGCGGGUGCUAACGUCCGUCGUGAAGAGGGAAACAACCCAGACCGCCAGCUAAGGUCCCAAAGUCAUGGUUAAGUGGGAAACGAUGUGGGAAGGCCCAGACAGCCAGGAUGUUGGCUUAGAAGCAGCCAUCAUUUAAAGAAAGCGUAAUAGCUCACUGGUCGAGUCGGCCUGCGCGGAAGAUGUAACGGGGCUAAACCAUGCACCGAAGCUGCGGCAGCGACACUAUGUGUUGUUGGGUAGGGGAGCGUUCUGUAAGCCUGUGAAGGUGUGCUGUGAGGCAUGCUGGAGGUAUCAGAAGUGCGAAUGCUGACAUAAGUAACGAUAAAGCGGGUGAAAAGCCCGCUCGCCGGAAGACCAAGGGUUCCUGUCCAACGUUAAUCGGGGCAGGGUGAGUCGACCCCUAAGGCGAGGCCGAAAGGCGUAGUCGAUGGGAAACAGGUUAAUAUUCCUGUACUUGGUGUUACUGCGAAGGGGGGACGGAGAAGGCUAUGUUGGCCGGGCGACGGUUGUCCCGGUUUAAGCGUGUAGGCUGGUUUUCCAGGCAAAUCCGGAAAAUCAAGGCUGAGGCGUGAUGACGAGGCACUACGGUGCUGAAGCAACAAAUGCCCUGCUUCCAGGAAAAGCCUCUAAGCAUCAGGUAACAUCAAAUCGUACCCCAAACCGACACAGGUGGUCAGGUAGAGAAUACCAAGGCGCUUGAGAGAACUCGGGUGAAGGAACUAGGCAAAAUGGUGCCGUAACUUCGGGAGAAGGCACGCUGAUAUGUAGGUGAAGUCCCUCGCGGAUGGAGCUGAAAUCAGUCGAAGAUACCAGCUGGCUGCAACUGUUUAUUAAAAACACAGCACUGUGCAAACACGAAAGUGGACGUAUACGGUGUGACGCCUGCCCGGUGCCGG